rnacentral:rRNA from 1 species
AACGAACGCUGGCGGCAUGCCUAACACAUGCAAGUCGAACGAGACCUUCGGGUCUAGUGGCGCACGGGUGCGUAACGCGUGGGAACCUGCCCUUAGGUUCGGAAUAACUCCCCGAAAGGGGUUCUAAUACCGGAUAAUGUCUUCGGACCAAAGAUUUAUCGCCUUUGGAUGGGCCCGCGUUGGAUUAGCUAGUUGGUAGGGUAAAAGCCUACCACGGCGACGAUCCAUAGCUGGUCUGAGAGGAUGAUCAGCCACACUGGGACUGAGACACGGCCCAGACUCCUACGGGAGGCAGCAGUGGGGAAUAUUGGACAAUGGGCGAAAGCCUGAUCCAGCAAUGCCGCGUGAGUGAUGAAGGCCUUAGGGUUGUAAAGCUCUUUUACCCGGGAUGAUAAUGACAGUACCGGGAGAAUAAGCGCCGGCUAACUCCGUG